rnacentral:rRNA from 1 species
AAACUUUCUACAACGGAUCUCUUGUUUCUCGCGUCGAUGAAGAACGCAGCGAAAUGCGAUAAGAAAUAUGAAUUGCUGAUUUUCGUGAAACAUCGUAUCUUUGAACGCAC